AACGAACGCUGGCGGCAUGCCUAACACAUGCAAGUCGAACGAGACCUUCGGGUCUAGUGGCGCACGGGUGCGUAACGCGUGGGAACCUGCCUUGAGGUUCGGAAUAACUUCCCGAAAGGGAUGCUAAUACCGGAUGAUGUCUUCGGACCAAAGAUUUAUCGCCUUUAGAUGGGCCCGCGUUGGAUUAGCUAGUUGGUGGGGUAAAGGCCUACCAAGGCGACGAUCCAUAGCUGGUCUGAGAGGAUGAUCAGCCACACUGGGACUGAGACACGGCCCAGACUCCUACGGGAGGCAGCAGUGGGGAAUAUUGGACAAUGGGCGAAAGCCUGAUCCAGCAAUGCCGCGUGAGUGAUGAAGGCCUUAGGGUUGUAAAGCUCUUUUACCAGGGAUGAUAAUGACAGUACCUGGAGAAUAAGCUCCGGCUAACUCCGUGCCAGCAGCCGCCGUAACAC
rnacentral:rRNA from 1 species